GGGCGACUAGCUCAGCCGGUUAGAGCGCCGUCCUCACACGACGGAGGUCACAAGUUCGAAUCUUGUGUCGCCCACCA
rnacentral:tRNA from 1 species